UAGGGAAUCUUCGGCAAUGGGGGGAACCCUGACCGAGCAACGCCGCGUGAGUGAAGAAGGUUUUCGGAUCGUAAAGCUCUGUUGUUAAGGAAGAACGAGUGUGAGAAUGGAAAGUUCAUACUGUGACGGUACUUAACCAGAAAGGGACGGCUAACUACGUGCCAGCAGCCGCGGUAAUACGUAGGUCCCGAGCGUUGUCCGGAUUUAUUGGGCGUAAAGCGAGCGCAGGCGGUUAGAUAAGUCUGACGUUAAAGGCAGUGGCUCAACCAUUGUAGGCUUUGGAAACUGUUUAACUUGAGUGCAGAAGGGGAGAGUGGAAUUCCAUGUGUGGCGGUGAAAUGCGUAGAUAUAUGGAGGAACACCGGUGGCGAAAGCGGCUCUCUGGUCUGUAACUGACGCUGAGGCUCGAAAGCGUGGGAGCGAACAGG
rnacentral:rRNA from 1 species